AAAGACUGUUCUAUGACAUCGAUUAUAUGUUUACGUUUGUUUUUACGUUAACAUGUAAUAAUAGUUUGCUAUAAACGUAAAAACAAACGUAAACAUAUAUAAUCGAUGUCAUAAAACUAUAUUUAC
rnacentral:pre_miRNA from 1 species